rnacentral:rRNA from 1 species
UAUGUAGGUGGCAAGCGUUACUCGGAAUCACUAGGCGUAAAGCGCAGGUAGGCGGUUCGGUAAGUCUCUUGUGAAAGCUCCCGGCUCAACUGGGAGAGGUCAAGGGAAACUGCCGGGCUAGAGUGUGGCAGAGGAAGCUGGAAUUCCCGGUGUAGCGGUGAAAUGCGUAGAGAUCGGGAGGAAUACCUAUGGCGAAAGCAGGCUUCUGGGCCAUCACUGACACUGAUCUGCGAAAGCUAGGGGAGCAAACAGG